AUUGAACGCUGGCGGCAGGCCUAACACAUGCAAGUCGAGCGGGGUUUUCGGACCUAGCGGCGGACGGGUGAGUAAUGCCUAGGAAUCUGCCUAGUGGUGGGGGAUAAACGUUCGGAAACGGACGCUAAUACCCGCAUACGUCCUACGGGAGAAAGCGGGGGAUCUUCGGACCUCGCGCCAUUAGAUGAGCCUAGGUCGGAUUAGCUAGUUGGUGAGGUAAUGGGCUCACCAAGGCGACGAUCCGUAACUGGUCUGAGAGGAUGAUCAGUCACACUGGAACUGAGACACGGUCCAGACUCCUACGGGAGGCAGCAGUGGGGAAUAUUGGACAAUGGGCGAAAGCCUGAUCCAGCCAUGCCGCGUGUGUGAAGAAGGUCUUCGGAUUGUAAAGCACUUUAAGUUGGGAGGAGGGUAGUAACCUAAUACGUUGCUACUUUGACGUUACCGACAGAAUAAGC
rnacentral:rRNA from 1 species